UACGUAGGGUGCGAGCGUUGUCCGGAAUUAUUGGGCGUAAAGGGCUCGUAGGCGGUUUGUCGCGUCGGGAGUGAAAUCAUCUGGCUUAACUGGGUGCUUGCUUUCGAUACGGGCAGACUAGAGGUAUGCAGGGGAGAACGGAAUUCCUGGUGUAGCGGUGAAAUGCGCAGAUAUCAGGAGGAACACCGGUGGCGAAGGCGGUUCUCUGGGCAUGAUCUGACGCUGAGACGCGAAAGCGUGGGGAGCAAACAGG
rnacentral:rRNA from 1 species